rnacentral:rRNA from 1 species
GAUUUACANUUGAGUGAGUGGCGAACUGGUGAGUAACACGUGGGAAACCUGCCCAGAAGCGGGGGAUAACACCUGGAAACAGAUGCUAAUACCGCAUAACAACUUGGACCGCAUGGUCCGAGCUUGAAAGAUGGCUUCNGCUAUCACUUUUGGAUGGUCCCGCGGNGUAUUAGCUAGAUGGUGGGGUAACGGCUCACCAUGGCAAUGAUACGUAGCCGACCUGAGAGGGUAAUCGGCCACAUUGGGACUGAGACACGGCCCAAACUCCUACGGGAGGCAGCAGUAGGGAAUCUUCCACAAUGGACGAAAGUCUGAUGGAGCAACGCCGCGUGAGUGAAGAAGGGUUUCGGCUCGUAAAACUCUGUUGUUAAAGAAGAACAUAUCUGAGAGUAACUGUUCAGGUAUUGACGGUAUUUAACCAGAAAGCCACGGCUAACUACGUGCCAGCAGCCGCGGUAAUACGUAGGUGGCAAGCGUUGUCCGGAUUUAUUGGGCGUAAAGCGAGCGCAGGCGGUUUUUUAAGUCUGAUGUGAAAGCCUUCGGCUCAACCGAAGAAGUGCAUCGGAAACUGGGAAACUUGAGUGCAGAAGAGGACAGUGGAACUCCAUGUGUAGCGGUGAAAUGCGUAGAUAUAUGGAAGAACACCAGUGGCGAAGGCGGCUGUCUGGUCUGUAACUGACGCUGAGGCUCGAAAGUAUGGGUAGCAAACAGGAUUAGAUACCCUGGUAGUCCAUACCGUAAACGAUGAAUGCUAAGUGUUGGAGGGUUUCCGCCCUUCAGUGCUGCAGCUAACGCAUUAAGCAUUCCGCCUGGGGAGUACGGCCGCAAGGCUGAAACUCAAAGGAAUUGACGGGGGCCCGCACAAGCGGUGGAGCAUGUGGUUUAAUUCGAAGCUACGCGAAGAACCUUACCAGGUCUUGACAUACUAUGCAAAUCUAAGAGAUUAGACGUUCCCUUCGGGGACAUGGAUACAGGUGGUGCAUGGUUGUCGUCAGCUCGUGUCGUGAGAUGUUGGGUUAAGUCCCGCAACGAGCGCAACCCUUAUUAUCAGUUGCCAGCAUUAAGUUGGGCACUCUGGUGAGACUGCCGGUGACAAACCGGAGGAAGGUGGGGAUGACGUCAAAUCAUCAUGCCCCUUAUGACCUGGGCUACACACGUGCUACAAUGGAUGGUACAACGAGUUGCGAACUCGCGAGAGUAAGCUAAUCUCUUAAAGCCAUUCUCAGUUCGGAUUGUAGGCUGCAACUCGCCUACAUGAAGUCGGAAUCGCUANUAAUCGCGGAUCAGCAUGCCGCGGUGAAUACGUUCCCGGGCCUUGUACACACCGCCCGUCACACCAUGAGAGUUU